rnacentral:sRNA from 1 species
CAUGUUCAGCCAGCAGCAGCAGCAGCAGCUCCAGCAACAGCAGCAGCAGCUCCAGCAGUUACAGCAGCAGCAGCUCCAGCAGCAGCAAUUGCAGCAGCAGCAGUUACUGCAGCUCCAGCAGCUGCUCCAGCAAUCCCCACCACAGGCCCCGUUGCCCAUGGCUGUCAGCCGGUAACCUCCGAGGCUACGGCAUGGCAUCCCCAGGCCUCGCAGCCCCCAGCCUGACAGCCCCCAGCCUCACACCCCCACAACUGGCCACUCCAAAUUUGCAACAGUUCUUUCCCCAGGCCACUCGCCAGUCCUUGCUGGGACCUCCUCCUGUUGGGGUCCCCAUGAACCCUUCCCAGUUCAACCUUUCAGGACGGAACCCCCAGAAACAGGCCCGGACCUCCUCCUCUACCACCCCCAAUCGAAAGGAUUCUUCUUCUCAGACAAUGCCUGUGGAAGACAAGUCAGACCCCCCAGAGGGGUCUGAGGAAGCCGCAGAGCCCCGGAUGGACACACCAGAAGACCAAGAUUUACCGCCCUGCCCAGAGGACAUCGCCAAGGAAAAACGCACUCCAGCACCUGAGCCUGAGCCUUGUGAGGCGUCCGAGCUGCCAGCAAAGAGAUUGAGGAGCUCAGAAGAGCCCACAGAGAAGGAACCUCCAGGGCAGU